rnacentral:rRNA from 1 species
AGUGAACGCUGGCGGUAGGCCUAACACAUGCAAGUCGAACGGCAGCACAGUAAGAGCUUGCUCUUACGGGUGGCGAGUGGCGGACGGGUGAGGAAUACAUCGGAAUCUACUUUUUCGUGGGGGAUAACGUAGGGAAACUUACGCUAAUACCGCAUACGACCUACGGGUGAAAGCAGGGGAUCUUCGGACCUUGCGCGAUUGAAUGAGCCGAUGUCGGAUUAGCUAGUUGGCGGGGUAAAGGCCCACCAAGGCGACGAUCCGUAGCUGGUCUGAGAGGAUGAUCAGCCAAACUGGGACUGAGACACGGUCCAGACUCCUACGGGAGGCAGCAGUGGGGAAUAUUGGACAAUGGGCGCAAGCCUGAUCCAGCCAUACCGCGUGGGUGAAGAAGGCCUUCGGGUUGUAAAGCCCUUUUGUUGGGAAAGAAAAGCAGCAGGUUAAUACCCCGCUGUUCUGACGGUACCCAAAGAAUAAGCACCGGCUAACUUCGUGC